AAGUCAUAACAAGGUUUCCGUAGGUGAACCUGCGGAAGGAUCAAUGGAGAUCGCCGAAAGGCAUCACACACACAGUGCACCCUUGCAGACAUUUAGGUCGAGAACGUAUGCAUCUUAAAUGAAACAA
rnacentral:misc_RNA from 1 species